AGAAUCAACGCUGGCGGCGUGCCUAACACAUGCAAGUCGCACGAGAAAGGGUAGCAAUACCUGAGUACAGUGGCGCACGGGUGAGUAACACGUGAAUAAUCUACCUCCGAGUGGGGAAUAACUGAGAGAAAUCUUAGCUAAUACCGCAUAACACUUACGAGUCAAAGCAGCAAUGCGCUUGGAGAGGAGUUCGCGGCAGAUUAGUUAGUUGGCGGGGUAAUGGCCCACCAAGACGAUGAUCUGUAUCCGGCCUGAGAGGGCGCACGGACACACUGGAACUGAAACACGGUCCAGACUCCUACGGGAGGCAGCAGUGGGGAAUUUUGCGCAAUGGGGGAAACCCUGACGCAGCAACGCCGCGUGGAGGAUGAAAUCCCUUGGGAUGUAAACUCCUUUCGAUCGGGAAGAUAAUGACGGUACCGAGAGAAGAAGCCCGGCUAACUUCGCGCCAGCAGCCGC
rnacentral:rRNA from 1 species